ACUACUGUGCUUUAACAAUUAUGGUUUGCAAUGCUUAUGAUGACAUGAUCCGUUUUUAGUAACCGUAACAUCAGGGAUGUUACACAACGCCCUCGACCUAUUCUCAAACUUUAAAUAGGUAGGACGGCACGGCUGCUCCGGUGAGCCGUGCCAUGGAAUCGGGAGCUCCAAGUGGGCCAUUUUUGGUAAGCAGAACUGGCGAUGCGGGAUGAACCGGAAGCCGGGUUACGGUGCCAAACUGCGCGCUAACCUAGAACCCACAAAGGGUGUUGGUCGAUUAAGACAGCAGGACGGUGGUCAUGGAAGUCGAAAUCCGCUAAGGAGUGUGUAACAACUCACCUGCCGAAUCAACUAGCCCCGAAAAUGGAUGGCGCUGAAGCGCGCGACCCACACCCGGCCAUCUGGGCGAGCGCCAUGCCCCGAUGAGUAGGAGGGCGCGGCGGCCGCUGCAAAACCCGGGGCGCGAGCCUGGGCGGAGCGGCCGUCGGUG
rnacentral:ncRNA from 1 species